CCUUCAAUAGCUCAUUUGGUAGAGCGGGGGGCUGUAGAUUUGUAAUUGUGAUCCGAAGUUUGCUGGUUCGAAUCCGGCUCGAAGGA
rfam:Nematostella vectensis strain CH2 x CH6 NEMVEscaffold_285_Cont22394, whole genome shotgun sequence.